GCGUAUUGCGGACGAUAAGAGUCUGUUUCCGUGAGAAGGGAAGGGAAAAAAAUCAACGCUUGUGCGCAGUUAGGUGUAACAGCGACACGUGUGGCUCUCGCAGUGGUGAUUACGCAGUUGGAGCGGUCGCGCGCGUGUAAUUAUCUCAUCGACAGUAUCAUCAUCGAAGGUGAACUGUGUAACUUUUUGGUGCGAAGCGUGGUCGAAGCGGCUAUUUCGACGUCUGAACGCCUCGUGCUCCAGCGGACGCCGCUGCAACCCGGAGAGAAAUUCUCGCGGAACUUCGCUCUCAUUUCGAGAGCUCGAAGAUUGCUAUUGUUCCGGCGGAGAGGUAAGGGCCAACUCCAUGGAUACUUAACGUAGAGCCGGGCAAGGAGGAAUUGCGGCGCCCUUCCUCGCGAGAAGCAAAAGUCACUUACACCACUCGUCGUGAAAGGAUCAACACGUCAAUGAAUCAUUUGAUCAAACCUCUUGUUUUUAUUUAAUUGCUCCAACAUUUCGAAGGAUGUCGUCGAAACUUGGUUCGUCACGAAAUAUGCGUCCGCGGUUCCCGACUAUCCGUCACUUUGAAAAAUGACGCGCGCUUCUUGUCCCGGAUAGCAAGGGAAGGGAAAAAAAAACAAGAAGAGGGGAGGAGGCAGGCAAAGGAAAAAAGAAAGAGCGAGCGUGGAAACAAUGGUUCGAUGCGGAGAGCGAAUCGAGAGAAGGGAGAAUAUCGAGGCCAGAUUACGAGAGAGACCAAGCUACUUUGCAUCGAGCUACUCUCACCCUUGCCAACACUUUGUGCACCGUCUCGCCCACCACCCUUUCAUCCCCGUGGCUUAUUUUCGAAUGGAGAAAAGCCUCGUCCGACGUUUGCGCCGUCAUCCCUCCAACCGAUCCGGCAGGAUUUCGGUCUGCUCGUUUGAGAUUGUUACGCGAUUUCAGAAUGAUUAAUCGUCUCAAGUACAUCGGUCGAUUCUUCGGUCGUGUGCAAUGCGUGUAUUCAUAUAUUCGCGGCAUCGUUCUGUUA